rnacentral:ncRNA from 1 species
GCAAAAGCGAAGAAGAGGACUAGUAGGAAGAUCCGUCUGAUUUCAGAGAGCUGCCGGGUGGUGAGAGGCAGUAUCAUGGAUUCUGAACUGACCUUGGAGUUCUUCUGCUGAACCGGGAUGAUCCAGGACAGGCAGAAGCGGGAGUUCCCGUUACAGAAUCUGAUGAGUGCAUCUGCCGGAUGGCGGAUGAAUAAGAGUGGUACCACGGAACUAAAGCCUUUUCGUCUCUUGA